UACGUAGGGGGCAAGCGUUGUCCGGAUUUAUUGGGCGUAAAGAGCGUGUAGGCGGCCAGGUAGGUCUGGUGUGAAAACUCGAGGCUCAACCUCGAGAGGUCAUCGGAAACCAUCUGGCUAGAGUCCGGAAGAGGAGAGUGGAAUUCCCGGUGUAGCGGUGAAAUGCGUAGAUAUUGGGAAGAACACCAGUGGCGAAGGCGGCUCACUGGCCCGUAACUGACGCUGAGGUGCGAAAGCGUGGGGAGCAAACAGG
rnacentral:rRNA from 1 species